rnacentral:rRNA from 1 species
GACGAACGCUGGCGGCGUGCUUAACACAUGCAAGUCGAACGGAAAGGCCCUGCUUGCAGGGUACUCGAGUGGCGAACGGGUGAGUAACACGUGGGUGAUCUGCCCUGCACUUCGGGAUAAGCCUGGGAAACUGGGUCUAAUACCGGAUAGGAGCCAUUUUUAGUGUGAUGGUUGGAAAGUUUUUUCGGUGUAGGAUGAGCUCGCGGCCUAUCAGCUAGUUGGUGGGGUAAUGGCCUACCAAGGCGGCGACGGGUAGCCGGCCUGAGAGGGUGGACGGCCACAUUGGGACUGAGAUACGGCCCAGACUCCUACGGGAGGCAGCAGUGGGGAAUAUUGCACAAUGGGCGCAAGCCUGAUGCAGCGACGCCGCGUGGGGGAUGACGGCCUUCGGGUUGUAAACUCCUUUCGCUAGGGACGAAGCUUUUUGUGACGGUACCUAGAUAAGAAGCACCGGCUAACUACGU